rnacentral:lncRNA from 1 species
GGAUUUAGGUAUGAGCUUCACAUCUCUUUUUUAUUUGUUUUAGGAAGGAAUUUUAGGAAAAUCUUAAAGGGUGCUAUCUGAAUAGGAAAGCCAAAGCAGAAAGGAACAUAUUUUCGAGCUUUGCAGGUGCUGACUUUCCUGAGCAACAGUUCAACACGGACACUAGGAGUCAGUUAUGGUUUUUCCUAGCAGCUUGUUCAGCUCCUCCUCACUGCAGAUGGCACUU